ACGGAAGGCAGCAGUGGGGAAUAUUGGGCAAUGGGCGAAAGCCUGACCCAGCAACGCCGCGUGAAGGAAGAAGGUCUUCGGAUUGUAAACUUCUUUUAUGAGGGACGAAGGACGUGACGGUACCUCAUGAUUAAGCCACGGCUAACUACGUGCCAGCAGCCGCGGUAAUACGUAGGUGGCGAGCGCUAUCCGGAUUUACUGGGUGUAAAGGGCGCGUAGGCGGGGAUGCAAGUCAGAUGUGAAAUCUAUGGGCUUAACUCAUAAACUGCAUUUGAAACUGUAUCUCUUGAGUGCUGGAGAGGUAGAUGGAAUUCCUUGUGUAGCGGUGAAAUGCGUAGAUAUAAGGAAGAACACCAGUGGCGAAGGCGAUCUACUGGACAGUAACUGACGCUGAGGCGCGAAAGCGUGGGGAGCAAACAGGAUUAGAUACCCUGGUA
rnacentral:rRNA from 1 species